rnacentral:tRNA from 1 species
AAGAUUUUAAGUUAAAAAAACUAUUUACCUUCAAAGUAAAAAUUAUUGAAUAUAAAUCUUA